GUCAAGUGAACCGUUGAGCGUUAGAAUGGACCGUUGAGCGUCCAGAGCGAUCAAGGGCAAACCGCUCAACGGUAAAACUGACUGUUGAGCAGUCCAACGGAUAAAGGGGAAACCGCUGAGCGGUUUACUUAGGCACCUAGGCUGUUGUCUGUUUUUAUUAGCUUAGAUUCUGUAAUCUUUCUGUUAUCUUUUUGGCUUAUAUAUAGCCCCAAUGCGAAUCAAAACUGAAUCUUUUGGCAGAUAGAAAC
rnacentral:lncRNA from 1 species